UCAACCCAAGUAGCAGAGCCGAAGUUUUUCAGAGAUUUUUCUGUGUGCCAAAGCGAGAUGCCCUGUCUUCUCUCUCUAGAUUUUGGACAGCAAACCGCUGCGCGUGUAGAGGUGUGUGCGUGUGACGAACAACGAUGGAUGAAAAACGCGAGGAGCGGGGUCUGAAGUCUUUCGUUGGUCACACACACAUGCAUCUACCGUUGGAUUGCGCUACAUCGAGUCUACCCAUCUCUCUCGAUCUACCAUGAUUUUUUUCUGCUAUCGCACUCAUCUGGGAGUUAGGCAUCCUCAGUCUGCCCAGAACUUUCGUUGUGGAAGGAUGUGCGGGAGUGAUGUGCGAUUUCUUGUGUCCCCUACUUUCCUUGUUUACGUUUUGCGCAGUGUUGCUUCUUCUUCCAUCGUGGAAUGAUUUAUCCUAGCUAAUUUGUUGAGGUAAGUUUCUUGAUCUCAUAUGUGCUUCAAUGUACUAAUUUAACUAAUGCUUAUCGUCUUCAAAGUUACAGGUGCAUGCGCCAUUCAUCAACGCCUACCUGUUGGCAUCAUCAACAAUCUUUAUAGUAGGUGACGGAAAGAAAUUGUUUUCCAGUUUUAAAAUAUUAAGCGUUCAGCACAACUCAGCCACAAAACAACGCACUGGAUUGCGCUAAGAACCUGUCGAAACGCGCGCAGCCCCCGGGAGCGGUAGGAGAAAUGAAGAACGAGAGGAGAAAAAACUAAAGCCAGCGCGCAGCUCUGAUGGUACCCCGGACGCGGUAAGAAGAAAAAAGAUCGAGAGGAGGAAGAACGGUAAAUUUGGAAGGGGGAGACCGUUCUGCCGUCUCCACAGUGUGAGUAUGCCAAAGCACGUGUUGGAAGGGAAAGAAAAAGUGUGGAAUAAACCGCAUGCGAAUGUGUGCAUACAGCAAAAGUAAA